GGGUUGUGAGGUUAAGCGACUAAGCGUACACGGUGGAUGCCCUGGCAGUCAGAGGCGAUGAAGGACGUGCUAAUCUGCGAAAAGCGCCGGCGAGGUGAUAUGAACCUUUGACCCGGCGAUGUCCGAAUGGGGAAACCCAGUGCAAUCCGUUGCACUAUCGUUAACUGAAUACAUAGGUUAACGAGGCGAACCGGGGGAACUGAAACAUCUAAGUACCCCGAGGAAAAGAAAUCAACCGAGAUUCCCCCAGUAGCGGCGAGCGAACGGGGAGCAGCCCGGAGUCUGAAUCAGCUUGUGUGUUAGUGGAACGGUCUGGAAAGUCCGACGGUACAGGGUGAUAGUCCCGUACACGAAAGCACACAUGCUGUGAACUCGAAGAGUAGGGCGGGACACGUGGUAUCCUGUCUGAAUAUGGGGGGACCAUCCUCCAAGGCUAAAUACUCCUGACUGACCGAUAGUGAACCAGUACCGUGAGGGAAAGGCGAAAAGAACCCCGGCGAGGGGAGUGAAAAAGAACCUGAAACCGUGUACGUACAAGCAGUGGGAGCCUCUUUAUGGGGUGACUGCGUACCUUUUGUAUAAUGGGUCAGCGACUUAUAUUCUGUAGCAAGGUUAACCGUAUAGGGGAGCCGAAGGGAAACCGAGUCUUAACUGGGCGUUAAGUUGCAGGGUAUAGACCCGAAACCCGGUGAUCUAGCCAUGGGCAGGUUGAAGGUUGGGUAACACUAACUGGAGGACCGAACCGACUAAUGUUGAAAAAUUAGCGGAUGACCUGUGGCUGGGGGUGAAAGGCCAAUCAAACCGGGAGAUAGCUGGUUCUCCCCGAAAGCUAUUUAGGUAGCGCCUCGUGAACUCAUCUUCGGGGGUAGAGCACUGUUUCGGCUAGGGGGCCAUCCCGGCUUACCAACCCGAUGCAAACUACGAAUACCGAAGAAUGUUAUCACGGGAGACACACGGCGGGUGCUAACGUCCGUCGUGAAGAGGGAAACAACCCAGACCGCCAGCUAAGGUCCCAAAGUCAUGGUUAAGUGGGAAACGAUGUGGGAAGGCACAGACAGCCAGGAUGUUGGCUUAGAAGCAGCCAUCAUUUAAAGAAAGCGUAAUAGCUCACUGGUCGAGUCGGCCUGCGCGGAAGAUGUAACGGGGCUAAACCAUGCACCGAAGCUGCGGCAGCGACGCUUAGGCGUUGUUGGGUAGGGGAGCGUUCUGUAAGCCGUUGAAGGUGUCCUGUGAGGGGUGCUGGAGGUAUCAGAAGUGCGAAUGCUGACAUAAGUAACGAUAAAGCGGGUGAAAAGCCCGCUCGCCGGAAGACCAAGGGUUCCUGUCCAACGUUAAUCGGGGCAGGGUGAGUCGACCCCUAAGGCGAGGCCGAAAGGCGUAGUCGAUGGGAAACAGGUUAAUAUUCCUGUACUUGGUGUUACUGCGAAGGGGGGACGGAGAAGGCUAUGUCAGCCGGGCGACGGUUGUCCCGGUUUAAGCAUGUAGGCGGAGGUUCCAGGUAAAUCCGGUACCUUAUUAACGCUGAGGUGUGAUGACGAGGCACUACGGUGCUGAAGUGAUAAAUGCCCUGCUUCCAGGAAAAGCCUCUAAGCAUCAGGUAACACGAAAUCGUACCCCAAACCGACACAGGUGGUCAGGUAGAGAAUACCAAGGCGCUUGAGAGAACUCGGGUGAAGGAACUAGGCAAAAUGGUGCCGUAACUUCGGGAGAAGGCACGCUGAUAUGUAGGUGAAGCCCCUGCGGGCGGAGCUGAAAUCAGUCGAAGAUACCAGCUGGCUGCAACUGUUUAUUAAAAACACAGCACUGUGCAAACACGAAAGUGGACGUAUACGGUGUGACGCCUGCCCGGUGCCGGAAGGUUAAUUGAUGGGGUUAGCGGCAACGCGAAGCUCUUGAUCGAAGCCCCGGUAAACGGCGGCCGUAACUAUAACGGUCCUAAGGUAGCGAAAUUCCUUGUCGGGUAAGUUCCGACCUGCACGAAUGGCGUAAUGAUGGCCAGGCUGUCUCCACCCGAGACUCAGUGAAAUUGAACUCGCUGUGAAGAUGCAGUGUACCCGCGGCAAGACGGAAAGACCCCGUGAACCUUUACUAUAGCUUGACACUGAACACUGGUCCUUGAUGUGUAGGAUAGGUGGGAGGCUUUGAAGCGUGGACGCCAGUCUGCGUGGAGCCAACCUUGAAAUACCACCCUUUAAUGGCUGGUGUUCUAACGUAGACCCGUAAUCCGGGUUGCGGACAGUGUCUGGUGGGUAGUUUGACUGGGGCGGUCUCCUCCCAAAGAGUAACGGAGGAGCACGAAGGUUGGCUAAUCCUGGUCGGACAUCAGGAGGUUAGUGCAAUGGCAUAAGCCAGCUUGACUGCGAGCGUGACGGCGCGAGCAGGUGCGAAAGCAGGUCAUAGUGAUCCGGUGGUUCUGAAUGGAAGGGCCAUCGCUCAACGGAUAAAAGGUACUCCGGGGAUAACAGGCUGAUACCGCCCAAGAGUUCAUAUCGACGGCGGUGUUUGGCACCUCGAUGUCGGCUCAUCACAUCCUGGGGCUGAAGUAGGUCCCAAGGGUAUGGCUGUUCGCCAUUUAAAGUGGUACGCGAGCUGGGUUUAGAACGUCGUGAGACAGUUCGGUCCCUAUCUGCCGUGGGCGCUGGAGAAUUGAGGGGGGCUGCUCCUAGUACGAGAGGACCGGAGUGGACGCAUCACUGGUGUUCGGGUUGUCAUGCCAAUGGCACUGCCCGGUAGCUAAAUGCGGAAGAGAUAAGUGCUGAAAGCAUCUAAGCACGAAACUUGCCCCGAGAUGAGUUCUCCCUGAGACCUUGAGUCUCCUGAAGGAACGUUGAAGACGACGACGUUGAUAGGUCGGGUGUGUAAGCGCAGCGAUGCGUUGAGCUAACCGAUACUAAUGAACCGUGAGGCUUAACCUUACAACGCCGAAGCUGUU
rnacentral:rRNA from 5 species